GCGAUUUUGUGAACAUUUCUUAUGAUAAGCUAUACAUACAUGCGCGGGCGAAUCCAGGAUUGAAGUCCAGUUAGGACAGAGGUUGACUAUUGACCAUCGAUCGUCGACAAUCAACGAUCAUAAUAGUCCGAUAGUUUAUUAAAAUUUGAUUAAAUAAUAUGGAAAGUUAUUCAAUAAUCAUUCCUCAUUAAAACAUAAGUUACUUAUCAUAAAUCACAAUUCGCAAACAUAAUUUUGAAAACAUAAAUUCCCAAAUCAAUAUUCAUUCCUCAUUAAAACAUAAAUUAUUUAUAAUAAAUCAUAAUUCGCAAACAUAAUUUCAUAAACAUAAAUUCCCAAAACAUAAAUCAUUCCUCAUUAGAACAUAAAUUACUUAUGAUUUGCAAACAUAAUUUCAUAAACAUAAAUUCUCGAAACAAUAAUCAUUCCUUAUUAAAACAUAAAUUACUUAUAAUAAAUCACAAUUCCCAAACAUAAAUUCCCGAACAAUAAUCAUAACAUAAUUAACAUUCAUUAGUCAUUACUCAACAUCAACAAGUCAAAUAGCUAACAAAAUUAAACAAAAACAAGAAAAAUAAAAGGGAAAAAGAGUCACCAGUGACCAGACUCACAGCACUUAGACUCGGCUCGCAGUCGACAGCAGAAGCUGCAAAACACAUUGUCUGUGCUCACUGUGCUACUUCUUCAAUUUCAAAUGGAAAUUGGCAUUAUAGAAUGGGGACGGAGUCUCUGCCUAUCUGCACUGUGUGGAUUGGAUAAUGGAGAAGGGAGAAUUAUUGGAAAAUGGUUUGGCUUUCUUUCACGAUUUGGGAAUUGGGAAUUUGGAUUCUUUCUUUGCUCAGUGGUUGUGGUUGCCUUUGAAAGAAAAUGGUUGGGCAGUGGGCACUUGGGCCAAUUCCCAAUUCACGAACAAAUGGUUUGAUAUUGGAGUCUUGGACCAUUUGUUAAUUUCAUAUGAGAAUUCAAUUGGACAUUCGGUUUAGACAAAAAUAGGCCCAACAAUAAUUACUUCAGGCUUGAGCCCAUAUCAAAAACAAAAAAGAAAGGAAAAGGGGUCGUCUCUUUCCUUUGUCAUCUUCUUCUCUGGCUGGCUCUGCAAUUGGUAACUACAACUCCACAAUUUUGUAUCCAAUGAUUCUAAAGCUUUCGAUGGAGCCAGCAUGUGCGGCCACACCCCCUCGCCGGGUGUUGGCUCCCCGCCUACAUACAUGGUUCAAUUUGUUCAAGAUAUGUAGCUCAUAAAACUGACAGGAUUAUCGUUCAUAUAUUUAGAGCCCUUUUGUGUAGAUAGAGCAGUUUGAUUUCUAGCUGUUAAAAGUGAAGUUUAAGAGAAGUAGAUGGCAUAUUGGUUGGUG
rnacentral:lncRNA from 1 species